rnacentral:rRNA from 1 species
UACGUAGGGUGCGAGCGUUGUCCGGAAUUAUUGGGCGUAAAGAGCUCGUAGGCGGUGUGUCACGUCGGCCGUGAAAACCUGCAGCUUAACUGUGGGCGUGCGGUCGAUACGGGCAUCACUGGAGUUCGGCAGGGGAGACUGGAAUUCCUGGUGUAGCGGUGAAAUGCGCAGAUAUCAGGAGGAACACCGGUGGCGAAGGCGGGUCUCUGGGCCGAUACUGACGCU